rnacentral:rRNA from 1 species
GUGGGGAAUAUUGGACAAUGGGGGGAACCCUGAUCCAGCCAUGCCGCGUGUGUGAAGAAGGCCUUUUGGUUGUAAAGCACUUUAAGCGAGGAGGAGGCUACUCUAGUUAAUACCUAGAGAUAGUGGACGUUACUCGCAGAAUAAGCACCGGCUAACUCUGUGCCAGCAGCCGCGGUAAUACAGAGGGUGCAAGCGUUAAUCGGAUUUACUGGGCGUAAAGCGCGCGUAGGUGGCCAAUUAAGUCAAAUGUGAAAUCACCGAGCUUAACUUGGGAAUGGCAUUCGAUACUGGUUGGCUAGAGUAUGGGAGAGGAUGGUAGAAUUCCAGGUGUAGCGGUGAAAUGCGUAGAGAUCUGGAGGAAUACCGAUUGCGAAGGCAGCCAUCUGGCAUAAUACUGACACUGAGGUGCGAAAGCAUGGGGAGCAAACAGGAUUAGAUACCCUAGUAGUCC